rnacentral:sRNA from 1 species
UGCCUAAGUUCUCAUAGAAUAUGGCAUAAAAACCUUUCACAGACAUUAAGCUCCUCGUCAGAGCAUCUGUGAAGGGUCAUAUCUCGAAAGGGGUAUGGGUAGCGAAAGCUAUC